rnacentral:rRNA from 1 species
GUCUUUAUGAUGUUAUAUAAAGUCUGACCUGCUCUCUGUUAAUAUUAAGGGCCGCAGUAUUUUGACUGUGCGAAGGUAGCAUAAUAAGUAGGUUAUUGAUUGUAAUCUGGAAUGAAAGGUUAAACGUGAGAAUGUCUGUCUCAAAUGUUAAGAUGAAUUUUAAUUGUUAGUUAAAAUGCUAAUAUUAAUUAAUUAGACGAGAAGACCCUAUUAAGUUUUAUAUUUAUAUAUUUUUGUUUUAGUAAUUUAAAGUGUUAAUAAUAUUUAGCUGGGGCGGUUUUUUUAAUUAAACAUCAAUUUUAUUUUUUUCUUAUAAGAAGUUUGUGAACCAUAAGUUAUGGUUGUUAGAAUAAAUUACUAUAGGGAUAACAGCGUAAUUUUAUUGGAGAGUUCUUAUUGGUAAUAAAGAUUGCGACCUCGAUGUUGGAUUAAGGUUUCUUAUUGGUGCAGGUGCUAAUAAAGAUGGUCUGUUCGACCUUUAAAAUCUUACA